rnacentral:lncRNA from 1 species
UUCUUCUUUAAAUAAAAAUUGCAGAUGCACACAGGAAAAAAAAGAUAUUGAGGCAGCCACUAUUUUGAUAUACAAGUACAAACACAUACAGGAAGAAGAAAGGGAGGUAGCAACAAUACUAUGGCCUUGUUUGAUCCCCAUUAUUUUCUCAUUAAAAUGAAAAAUAUGAUCGUUCUCCAUCAUAUCAAGCCACUAUAUUUGACUUUUAUCUCUUAUGUGGGACCCAUAACGAUUAUAUUUUUCAUUCUCAUUUUUACAAUAAUGUGGCACAAACAGGAGGUUAUAUAUAUUAUACACUCUUUGACCAGUUGUAGGGAGGAAUAAUUUCGGCUUCCAGUAACUGAGAGAGAAAGAGAGAGAGCGCACGUGUGGCUGGCGACGGAAAGGCAGUGGACGAUUGGAGCAAAAUUGGAAAUUAAUCACGUUCCGUCAAUUUUCG